UUGCCAAAAAUCAGAUUGGACCUUCAUUUAUUUUCAUUAAUUUAAGUGAUUUAUGCAUGCGAAUCUAAUAAUUUGUAUUCAAAAUAGUUUAUUUGAUUUUGUGCAAGACAUGAUGUGGUAGAAUAGAAUUCUAAGGAGAUGCACAAUCAAAUCCGGCUCAGAAUCGUUCGCGAUGUCCAGGCUCCCCAGCUUCUACGUGAAAUGCUCAGGAUAUACGGAGGUUUGGUAUAUCCUGGUAAGGAUAAGGAUAAGAACGCCGACGACAAAGUAAAUAGGUAACUAGUAAACGCAAAAUGACGACAGGAACCUAACGCAAAUUGACCAUUGGAUGGAAAUCAACCCGGGCCUUUGUGGUGGAAGCCGAAACUAGACCGGAAAAGAGCGAGUAAAGAAAUUACUAAAUAAGCUAAGGGAAAAAUGCCUGUACAGCACAUAAAAAUUGUCUCCAUUCCGGUACUUGAUCCAUGCCUUCACGUCGCCAACCACACAAUCUACGGAGGGGCAUCUAAUCAUCUUCCACAAGAUCAAUCCACGUUGUUGCCGCUUACUUUCUUGAACCAGUAGGUUCACUAUUGGGAACCAUGUUAACCGGGUUCUGCCCGAGAUUCUGGCUACCUGUACAGCCUACCGCAGUCGUUCAAUUUGCACGGUAUAAACAAUAUAGGCAGGUCCAUGAUGUCCGAAGAACAACAGUCAUCGGUCAAACUACACUACCAUUCACUGGCGGCAUAGCGGUCAUGAGGAAGUGUGAUAUACAAACUUGAGAAGAAAUAAAACGUAUAACGUUGCAG